rnacentral:rRNA from 1 species
UACGAGGGGUGCAAGCGUUGCUCGGAAUUAUUGGGCGUAAAGGGUAGGUAGGUGGUCUCAUUUGUCUCAUGUGAAAGCCUUGAGCUUAACUCAAGAAGUGCGUGAGAAACGGUGAGACUGGAGUCCUGGAGAGGGUCGUGGAAUUCCCGGUGUAGCGGUGGAAUGCGCAGAUAUCAGGGAGGAACACCGGGUGGCGAAGGCGGAUCUCUGGGCCAUAACUGACGCUGGAGGAGCGAAAGCAUGGGGAGC